AGUUGCCAUGGAGGCCUGAGGCCAGAGGGCCUCCACCCACGAAGAGCUUCAUCUCCGGCCAGUUGUAGCAGUGAGUGUAGAGUGCGUUGGGGAAAUCCUCUACACCAGCAACAUAAUUCUCCAAGAGAUCAUCCUGGUUGAUCCAGCCGCUGCCACAGGUGAGCUUGAGCUUCCUUCCAGAGGGCACAGGAAACAUGUCUGGACUGGCUGCAGAUCUUUCCUCGAGGAACUUCUGGGCACGGACAUCAUAGAAGAGCAGAGAACCAUGGCCUGUUCCCACGGUGACGAUGUGCUGGUAGACACUCAGAGAACGCACACCAGUGCCUCCCUCUCGGGAGCAGAGUGGCGGGAUGUUCUGCCGGCCUUGGCGCAGAUCCAGGAAUGAAACAUGAGACUGGGAACCCACAGCAUAGAGGGACAACUCAUCACAGUAGGUGAGACACACGUUCUCCCGGCAGUAGGGCAGCCUUAGGGUCAGCAGCCUGGACAGGGAGCUCCGGGCUUUCCACAGGUGGAAGUAGCCAUCCAGAGACACGGCUCCCAGCUCCUGGUUUUUGUUGUUGAAUGCAAGGGCUCGCACUUUGCGGUUACCUGGAUUGGUAGUAGCUUUGGGGAUGGCCUCCAUAUCUCUAGGACGGAUGUGAGCAUACACAGGAAGCCCCGCAUCCUUGUGCCAAGCAAUGCUGCCAUUGAACAUGUCGGGAUCCACCCGCCAGAGUGCCACGGUGCCGUCGCGGGAUCCACUCACGACCACUGUGUCACUCAUCCACGCGAUGGCGAAGAUCCAGUCCCUGUGGCCCUGGCAAUCUCCUAGGCACACGGGAUCCAGAGUGGGCAGCUGGUAGAUCGCCAGGCUGUUGGGAUUUUCCCCUCCAGUGGCCAUGAGGGUCUUGGAGGGAUUCAGCUCCACAGCAUGAAUGCCACAGGAGGGCGAGCCCUGGGCCAUGUCGGGCACCCGGUCGCGCAUCAGGGGAAUGCGCAUAAUGUGGUCGGUCUUGACAUCAACCACGAAGAGCGUGUUGCACUUGGUGCCACACACCACCUGCCUGGCAUUGAGCCACUGCGACGCGAACACCUUGUUGAGGGGGCCAAGCGUCAGCUGGCGCUCCCUCAGCAGCUCGGGCAGCCUGACGACCCCGUAGCUGCGCAGGUCGCCCUCGAAGCCCCCCAGCCCCGGGUGGCCCUCGGCGCCCAGCGCGCGGCCCUUCAGGUAGUGCACCAGCGAGUGGCCCGCCGCAGGCCGCCGCGGCCUCUUGGCCAGCAGCAAGGACCCCUCGGGUUGGCCUGCCUCGGCUGUCGCCAUCGCCGCAGACGGGCCUGGCGACGAAGAGGUCCCCGCGCCCUCCUCGACCUGGGCGGCUUUCCGCUUCCUGCUACCUGUUUGCUGAGGGGCCAUGGUGGGCGGCGGGCGGUUGGAGGGCCCGGGCUGUGGCGUCUCCUGGGCGGCGGGAGAGGGCGGCGCCUCGGAGUCGGCCUGAAGCAUGGGAGCGACAGCGAGCCGGAGGCUGGGCGAGCGAGCGAGCGAGCGAGCGAGAGAGCGGCUGGGAGCCUGCGGAGUCCCGAGCGCGUUGGCGGCAAAUGAGGUGAACGCGACGUGACCCAGCGAGCAACGCGAGGUCGGGCCGGAAAGAGCCGAGCGAGCUCGGAAAGCUCCGGGCUAGGGCCGAAGGUGCGCCGAGAGCGAGAGGGGAGUCGCUGCGGGAGCCAGCUCAGCGUGUGGACUUCUGGGCCUGGAGCGACAAAAUCAUCUGAGAAGACCAUAUGAAAUGACAGAUCAUCGGGCCUCAGAUUCUGCCUGCCUGUGAUGAUGCCCAGGACUUGAUGGUAGAUCACAGUCUUUAACAUCAGGUGGAAGCCGGAAGUCUUACAUUUAGGAGAAUGUACUCUACAGUGUGUCUCAAUGUUGCUCCUAAAAUGGAAACUUUCCAGACUUUCUGGACAGUGAGACAUAUCUGCUCCUGGCAGCACUGAUUUACUUCAGAGAGGAGGAUGGACAUCAAAGAUACUCCAUUUGGAAGUUUAUCUUCUUAACAAAAAUAGCCUUUUAGGCAAGAAGCUGUUCUUGCCUGGACUGCUUGAUCGACUGGACAUGCAGGACCCAUAAAAAGGUGACCACUGAACUUUGCUUGGCAAAAUGGUCCUUCAGGUUCCUGCUUCACAGAGGAAACUGCCAGACAAUCUACAGGACACAGAGAAAAGUGACUGAGAGACUCUCGGCCUGUGGGCUGAUGACAGAUGCCCCAACUUUACAGAGCAACUUUGGAUGACUGUCCAGGCUGCCAGCUAACUCUGUCUACUCUCACAAGACUCCCGAAAGUUGCUUGCGUCCUUCUCCUGUUUCUCAGGAAUGCUCACUAAGAAGCUGAACUUCUGUUCAACCUUGUAUCAAUGAUACUUAACAAAGCACUGAGAGAGCGAACUAUCAGUAUUCUACUUUCACCCAUCCCUGGCAUCAGCAGAGUGCUGAACUUCUAUAUCCAGUCAGCAAUAAAAAGAUGGAAUAAAAGAGUGAGGAGCAGGACAAUUCUUUGACCUCAAGAAACAAUGAUGUUCCCAAAAGUAGAAAUUCAAGAAAUUGAAUGAGUGAAGUGGGUAGCCAUUCCAGCUUUGAUCUGGAAGUUCCAACCCCCAUUGAGACUUCAGCAACUGUCACGCCUACAAGGCGGGGCCAAGGAAGGCACCUGGAGACCGGAGAUCUGGCACUAGCUCUGGUCUGGGACCCUGGACUCUGGAGGUGGGCCAAGCAGAGCUCCAGAGAACACCGCUGGACUGCGAUACACCUUCCCCAGACCCUGCGACCUACCUAUCCCUUAAUUUGUAAGUUAUGCCAUUAAAUAAAUCUCCUUUUAACUACG